UGGGGAAUAUUGCGCAAUGGGGGGAACCCUGACGCAGCCAUGCCGCGUGAAUGAAGAAGGCCUUCGGGUUGUAAAGUUCUUUCGGUAUUGAGGAAGGUUGAUGUGUUAAUAGCACAUCAAAUUGACGUUAAAUACAGAAGAAGCACCGGCUAACUCCGUGCCAGCAGCCGCGGUAAUACGGAGGGUGCGAGCGUUAAUCGGAAUAACUGGGCGUAAAGGGCACGCAGGCGGUUAUUUAAGUGAGGUGUGAAAGCCCCGGGCUUAACCUGGGAAUUGCAUUUCAGACUGGGUAACUAGAGUACUUUAGGGAGGGGUAGAAUUCCACGUGUAGCGGUGGAAUGCGUAGAGAUGUGGAGGAAUACCGAAGGCGAAGGCAGCCCCUUGGGAAUGUACUGACGCUCAUGUGCGAAAGCGUGGGGAGCAAACAGGAUUAGAUACCCUGGUAGUCCACGCUGUAAACGCUGUCGAUUUGGGGGUUGGGGUUUAACUCUGGCGCCCGUAGCUAACGUGAUAAAUCGACCGCCUGGGGAGUACGGCCGCAAGGUUA
rnacentral:rRNA from 1 species